GAUGAAGAACGCAGCGAAAUGCGAUAAGUAAUGUGAAUUGCAGAAUUCAGUGAAUCAUCGAAUCUUCGAACGCACAUUGCGCCCGCCAGUAUUCUGGCGGGCAUGCCUGUUCGAGCGUCAUUUCAACCAUCAAGCCCCCGGCUUGUGUUGGGGACCUGCGGCUGCCGCAGGCCCUGAAAAGCAGUGGCGGGCUCGCUGUCACACCGAGCGUAGUAGAUUUCAUCUCGCUCAGGGCGUGCUGCGGGUUCCGGCCGUUAAACCACCUUCAUAACCCAAGGUUGACCUCGGAUCAGGUAGGAAGACCCGCUGAACUUAAGCAUAUCAAUAAGCGGAGGA
rnacentral:misc_RNA from 1 species